AAACUAACAAGGAUUCCCCUAGUAGCGGCGAGCGAAGCGGGAAGAGCUCAAAUUUAUAAUCUGGCACCUUCGGUGUCCGAGUUGUAAUCUCUAGAAGUGUUUUCCGCGUUGGACCGCACACAAGUCUGUUGGAAUACAGCGGCAUAGUGGUGAGACCCCCGUAUAUGGUGCGGACGCCCAACGCUUUGUGAUACACUUUCGAAGAGUCGAGUUGUUUGGGAAUGCAGCUCAAAUUGGGUGGUAAAUUCCAUCUAAAGCUAAAUAUUGGCGAGAGACCGAUAGCGAACAAGUACCGUGAGGGAAAGAUGAAAAGCACUUUGGAAAGAGAGUUAACAGUACGUGAAAUUGUUGGAAGGGAAACGCUUGAAGUCAGACUUGCUUGCCGAGCAAUCGGUUUGCAGGCCAGCAUCAGUUUUCCGGGGUGGAUAAUGGUAGAGAGAAGGUAGCAGUUUCGGCUGUGUUAUAGCUCUUUGCUGGAUACACCUUGGGGGACUGAGGAACGCAGUGUGCCUUACGGCGGAUUUCUCGAGAUCUUCACACUUAGGAUGCUGGAGGGGUGGCUUUAACCGACC
rnacentral:rRNA from 1 species